rnacentral:lncRNA from 1 species
CGGUGCAUGGGGCCUGGCCCCACCAGCGGGCAUUGGCCCAGAGCCACGGCCGGGGGGCCAUCUAGCUGGAGAGAGAAGGGAUAGGUGACCCGAUCGGAGCCCAGCCCGGCCCGGCCGCCCUCGGCAGGAGGCGAGAGACAGCGAACGGAGUCGGGGAGGGAAUCUAGGGAGAUCCUAGAUGGGAUCUGGUUAGAGGCCCGGACCGAGGGCUGUCUGGUAGACGUGGGGCUGAGUGGAGGGUGUCUGCCGUCUGGAACCCCAAAGACAUAGGGUGAUCCCUAAAUCCGGACGGGGAGACGGGGCCGGGGUUGCAGAGGGGCCAGCAGGCUUGAUACAGGGGAAAAAAGAGGGGUCUUACAUGGGAAGGUGCAUCCGUGGCCCGGGGACUGGGGACCCCCGUGACAGCUGGAAGGAGAAGAGAGAGGCGUAGGGCGCGUGGAGGGACGGAGGAGGGCGGUGGCGCGGCGUGCCCCAGCCUGGACCCCUCGCCCUCCCCCAGGUGUCCACACACGCCGCGGGCCCACCUCCCCCCGUCGCCCUCGGGAAAGGGGACGGAUGGGGGACUCGCCUGCGUCUCCCCCGGCCUGCAGCAGCUCCAUCCGCUCCUGCAGCUGCCGGACGCGCGCCUCCAGGUCUCGGUUCCGGGCCUCGGCCUCACGGAGCUGACUGCGGGGAGGGAAAGACCGUGAGCCCUUCCGGACCGGACCUGAGCGAGACGGGCUGCCGACGGUAGCGACCAGCCCCGGCGCCCCGGCCCCGACCUGGCAAAGCUCUGGUUGGCUGUGCGGAUGGCCUCCAGCUCCCGGCUCAGGCUCUGCCGUGUAAGCACCUCCUCCUCCAGGGCCUCCUGGAGCUCCCGCAGCGUCACCUG